GGCUCAGGGGCCCGUGGAAUGUGCUGGGAGCUCAGCCUGGGCCCUAGGGGGGCAGGUGACCGUGUAACACAACCACACCCAGCAAGGCCUGCACCCAUUUUUUCCCUUUUUGUCAGUCCCAGCAGAGACACCAGGGACUGCAGGGAGACCAAGCUCCUGUACCCCAGCUCCCUGGUCCCCUUGCUGGGGCUGCUUCAUUACCAGAGGCAGAGACACAGCCAGGAAGGUGUCAGAAGCUUUUAUUGAGGAGGCAGGAACCAGCUUUAAACCCCAGAGGGAAGCUCCCUCUCCAAUGCAGAGACAGGUUGAGCCGCCGGGAGCGAUUUGGCCUUGUCCUUAGCCGGGGGGACAUAGAGGCCCAAGGUCUGCAAGGUGGCAUGUGAAUCUUUCAUCCCAUGCAGCCUGACGUCCAUCUGGUCCACAAAGAGCGCCUUGCCA